rnacentral:lncRNA from 1 species
ACCUUGGCCAGCCUUGUCUCCAACUCCCCCAUGGCGUCCCUGGAGCGAGACCUUUGGCCCUUAGAUUUGUCCCUUUCGGUUUGGGUGAUUUCACUGCCGCCUUCCAUACUCCCUUGGAUGUUCCAACGAACCUGACGCUCUGAUACCAAUUGUGACGAGACCGUAGCUCAAACACGACGAUCUGUCCGGCCUAGCGAACUUUGAAUGCUAAAGUUAGCUAGUCAGCCUACCCGGAAGCUUAGUAGAACUUAAGAAAGACUAAGCUUCUAGAAACUUGGCGAAGGAAACUAGUAGUUGGAAGAAAGAACUCUUUUAUUAAGAGAACUUUUUUACAAUGCUUUGAAUGCUUGCAACUUGGCUUGAUUGCUUGAUUGCUUCUUGGAUUCCAAAUGCCAUCCCAUAUUUAUAGGGGAGGCUUACAAGCUCUAGAGGUUCUAGAGAGUUCUAUAGCCUUCUAGAUAN